GACGAACGCUGGCGGCGUGCUUAACACAUGCAAGUCGAACGGAAAGGCCCUGCUUUUGUGGGGUGCUCGAGUGGCGAACGGGUGAGUAACACGUGAGUAACCUGCCCUUGACUUUGGGAUAACUUCAGGAAACUGGGGCUAAUACCGGAUAGGAGCUCCUGCUGCAUGGUGGGGGUUGGAAAGUUUCGGCGGAUGGGGAUGGACUCGCGGCUUAUCAGCUUGUUGGUGGGGUAGUGGCUUACCAAGGCUUUGACGGGUAGCCGGCCUGAGAGGGUGACCGGCCACAUUGGGACUGAGAUACGGCCCAGACUCCUACGGGAGGCAGCAGUGGGGAAUAUUGCACAAUGGGCGGAAGCCUGAUGCAGCAACGCCGCGUGCGGGAUGACGGCCUUCGGGUUGUAAACCGCUUUCGCCUGUGACGAAGCGUGAGUGACGGUAAUGGGUAAAGAAGCACCGGCUAACUACGUG
rnacentral:rRNA from 1 species